rnacentral:rRNA from 1 species
UACGUAGGGUGCGAGCGUUUGUCCGGAAUUAUUGGGCGUAAAGAGCUCGUAGGCGGUUUGUCGCGUCUGCCGUGGAAAGUCCGGGGCUCAACUCCAGAUCUGCGGUGGGUACGGGCAGACUAGAGUGAUGUAGGGGAGACUGGAAUUCCUGGUGUAGCGGUGGAAUGCGCAGAGUAUCAGGAGGAACACCGGUGGCGAAGGCGGGUCUCUGGGCAGUAACUGACGCUGGAGGAGCGAAAGCCGUGGGGAGCGAACAGG